CCUACGGGAGGCAGCAGUGAGGAAUAUUGGUCAAUGGACGAGAGUCUGAACCAGCCAAGUAGCGUGAAGGAUGACUGCCCUAUGGGUUGUAAACUUCUUUUAUAUGGGAAUAAAACGUUCCACGUGUGGGAUUUUGUAUGUACCAUAUGAAUAAGGAUCGGCUAACUCCGUGCCAGCAGCCGCGGUAAUACGGAGGAUCCGAGCGUUAUCCGGAUUUCUUGGGUUUAAAGGGAGAGUAGGUGGAUUGUUAAGUCAGUUGUGAAAGUUUGCGGCUCAACCGUAAAAUUGCAGUUGAAACUGGCAGUCUUGAGUACAGUAGAGGUGGGCGGAAUUCGUGGUGUAGCGGUGAAAUGCUUAGAUAGCACGAAGAACUCCGAUUGCGAAGGCAGCUCACUGGACUGCAACUGACACUGAGGCUCGAAAGUGUGGGUAUCAAACAGGAUUAGAUACCCGAGUAGUC
rnacentral:rRNA from 1 species